rnacentral:rRNA from 1 species
UACGAAGGGGGCUAGCGUUGCUCGGAUUGACUGGGCGUAAAGGGCGCGUAGGCGGUUCGUACAGUCAGACGUGAAAUUCCUGGGCUCAACCUGGGGGCUGCGUUUGAUACGUGCGGACUUGAGUGCGGAAGAGGGUCGUGGAAUUCCCAGUGUAGAGGUGAAAUUCGUAGAUAUUGGGAAGAACACCGGUGGCGAAGGCGGCAUCCUGGACCAAUAUUGACGCUGAGGAGCGAAAGCCAGGGGAGCAAACGGG